rnacentral:rRNA from 1 species
CCUACGGGUGGCAGCAGUUCGGAAUAUUGGUCCAUGGGCGCGAGCCUGAACCAGCCAAGUAGCGUGAAGGAUGCCUGCCCUACGGGUUGUAAACUUCUUUUAUAAAGGAAUACAGUGAGGCACGUGUGCCUUUUUGUAUGUACUUUAUUAAUAAGUAUCGGCUAACUCCGUUCCAGCAGCCGCGGUAAGACGGGGGAUCCGAGCGUUAUCCGGAUUUAUUGGGUUUAAAGGGAGCGUAGAUGGGUGGUUAAGUCAGUUGUGAAAGUUUGCGGCUCAACCGUAAAAUUGCAAUUGAUACUGGCAGUCUUGAGUACAGUUGAGGUAGGCGGAAUUCGUGGUGUAGCGGUGAAAUGCUUAGAUAUCACGAAGAACUCCGAUUGCGAAGGCAGCUUACUAAACUGCCACUGACAUUGAUGCUCGAAAGUGUGGGUAUCAAACAGGAUUAGAUACCCGGGUAGUC